UGAAAUCGGAAUAACUUUUUUACAGUCCAAAGUUUUGAGUAAGAAAACUUUAUUAAAACUAAACAGUUUCUAACUACAAAAAUUUCUACCAAUAAAAAAUGUAAUAAAUAAUUGUAGUUAAACUGACCCCAGAAUAAGUUGUUUCAUUACAAAAUUUAAUCAG